rnacentral:rRNA from 1 species
UAGAAUUCCAGGAGUAGCGGUGAAAUGCGUAGAUAUCUGGAGGAAUACCAAAGGCGAAGGCAGUCCCCUGGUCCGAUACUGACACUGGGGUACGAAAGCGUGGGGAGCAAACAGGAUUAGAUACCCUGGUAGUCCACGCCCUAAACGAUGUCGAUUAGCCAUUGGAAGGACCCCUUUUCCUUUCAGUGACGUAGCUAACGCGUUAAAUCGACCGCCUGGGAAGUACGACCGCAAGGUUAAAACUCAAAGGAAUUGACGGGGACCUGAACAAGCGGUGAAUGAUGUGGAUUAAUUCGAUGCUACGCGAAGAACCUUACCUACCUUUGACAUGGCCAAAGUUCUACCGAGAGGCGGAAGUACUCGUAAGAGGAUUGGCGCACAGGUGCUGCAUGGUUGUCGUCAGUUCGUGUCGUGAGAUGUUGGGUUCAGUCCCGCAACGAACGCAACCCUUAUCUUUAAUUGCUCCUAUUUUAACAGGCACUUUAAAGAAACUGCCAAUGAUAAGUUGGAGGAAGGUGGGGAUCACGUCAAGUCCGCAUGGCCUUUAUAGGUAGGGCUUCACAUGUCAUACAAUGGUUAGAACAAAGAGCUGCAAAUUCGUAAGAAGGAGCCAAUCUCACAAACCUAACCUCAGUUCGAAUUGCGGUCUGCAACUCGAGCGCAUGAAGCCGGAAUCGCUAGUAAUCGUGGAUCAGAAUGC